GGAUUUUCCUCUCCUUUGAGAAGAGGACAGAACUGCCUUUCUGCCGAAUAAAUCCAUUUUUCUCCAUUUCUCCUCUACAGAGUGAAACUCAGCACUUGCCUGGAAAAGUUCUAUGGGAGCUCAUUUUGUUGCCUGUUUUCUAGCUAUGGGGAACCAGCACUGCCACCAUUACAAUGGAUCUGGUUGUGAGCAUCAAUUCAGAACUUUUUUCCUCACCCAGGUUUGGAAUCACUGUCAUCAUUUGAUGGAGGGGAAAUUUCUCACUGUAAUAAAUCAGUACAUUUUCAUGGUAUCACAUGGUUGCAAAUCUGAGGUGACAUCAGGGUUUCUUUAUAAACCUUUGAGAACAUUCCUGAAGAAACAAGAAACAGAUUUGACUCACCACUAGCUUUUCUAACUUCAAAUCAACCGAUUCCACCUUUGCUACUUAGCAUACUUUUACUUAUUUCUAAGAGAUCAUCUGUUGUUCAUUUCAAGAACUGUUCAAAAUCUUUUCUAAUCAAGUCAGGCCUUCAAUCCCAUAUCCAACAGCAGUAGUUUUAGAUGGUAACCCUACUUCCUAAAUAAACUAAAUUAAAUUAAUAAAAUGAAAUAAAAGGAGACCUCAUAUGUGUUUCUUUCCAUCACUUCCAUUUUAAGCUAUAUCUGACUCACUCUCCUUCUUCCCUUAAAUGUCAGAAACAUGGGUGUGCCUUUUACUUAAUGUCUAUCUGACCACUUUGCUGUCUAUUAAUUCCUAUUACCAGUUACUUAUUUCUUCAGUUAUAUCAUUCUUGUGGCAUGUUAAUCUCCUCUUUUGCACUGGAACUUUACCUUCUUAACCAAAUGUUUAUAUCUCCCAUAUUUAAUAAUCACUUUACAUCAGUGCCCAGAUCUCCACGUCAAGAAACCAGAGCUCCUUGACUGAGUGUAGGGUUGAACAGUAAAAGUACCACAUGUGCCUGGAGUAUCUUGAAGUAUCAGAAACAAAGUGCUCAAAGAACAACUCAAUAGGGCCCUGUCAAAG
rnacentral:lncRNA from 9 species